GAGCUUGGCCUGGGUGGAUUAAAGCCCCACAGUGGGCGCUGAGCUUUGAUUUUCGGCCGUGCCUUCUUCUAUAAAGUACUUCACUUUUGCAACACCUGCUACUUCCAGUUUUUGUAUUUACACACUUACCAAAGAUGGCCCUCCAAGUCUGAGUGGUUUGAAAGCCCUUGCCUAUUAACUUCUCAUUACGGUAACAACACUGUUUCUUUCCUGUGAGGUUCCUUUACGGGAAAUGAGUGUGUUCAGUCAUUUGUGCCUAGUAUUAACUACAAGUUUAAAGUUGACCACUCAAGUUGCUUUCUAUCUGAUCACGUGUUACACUUUGAUGUGUUAUCAUAGGUCAAACGGUUGCAAAAAGUCUUGUGGUGUUAAAAAGAUCAGGAGGAGGUGGACAACUGAAAUCCUGCGUAGGGUCUUGAAUUACUUUUUUCCUAAUAACCAGCACAGAGGGAAGAAUGAUGUCUCUGGAAGCUAGAAUUUGCCACAAUUUCAAGGUUGAUGGUGUGGAGCCUGGCUAAUUGCAAGUGGCUUCAUAGCUAGACAGUGGAAUUAGCAUACAGGUAGUGCAUGUUGCAAAAGUUAGCAGAGGAUGGUUUCGAUUCAUCGACCUCUGGGUUAUGGGCCCAGCACGCUUCCGCUGCGCCACUCUGCUGAAACCCACCCUAGAUGGGACUCGAACCCACAAUCCCUGGCUUAGGAGGCCAGUGCCUUAUCCAUUAGGCCACUAGGGUUUCAUCUUGUGCAGUGUUUUUUUCACACCGAGCCCAAAUUCAGACUCUCUUUGCAUAAUUGAAAGUGUGUCAGGUUUCAGUAAAGAACAUAUUAAAAAGUGAAUGGUGAACUUGGCCUGCGUAUGUUUUCAAGUCAUUCUAUUAUCUUGCUCUGUCCCUAAUGAACUCCAGGGACAAGUGAGUGAUGCCUGUGAAAGUUGACUGGUCUGAAAUCAUAGACUCAAGAGUCACAAUCCUCUUGCAGCCUGAUGUAAUGCACUAAUACUUCUGGGUCUUGUCUAUCCGCUCUCUUGAACCUGUGUCCAGGUUGUCACGCUUUCUAAUAGAAUUAGGCAGUUAAUGCUUGUCGAUAAGCUUCAGGAGAGAAUGGUUUUGAUCCAUUGACCUCUUGAAUGCAGACUCAGCACUCUAUGGUGUAAGCUCAAGACAUAUUAGAAAGUGAAUGUUGAUGUGGACUUGUGUACGUAUCCUACUCCUCCAAACAUCGACAGAUGAGUGACUCCUGUUUAAGCUGAUUGGUCUGAAAUCACAGAAUCAAGAGUUACACUAAUUCUGAAGACUGAAAUAAUGCAAUAAAAAUUAUGAGCCUGUCUGUCUGUUCAUCUGAUCCUGUGUCUUGAAUUUCCUGCCGUCUGAUACAAUUACCAUUGUUGACCUUUUUUUUUAAUUAAAAGCAGAAUCUUUGUGUAUUGACACAGAUCAGCCAGGAAGGAAACCAUACGUUUACCCACAGAGGCCUGAGGUUGCCAAUUGUAUGGAAAAAAAGUCAUUUAUUGCCUGGCUAGCUCAGUCGGUAGAGCAUGAGACUCUUAAUCUCAGGGUCGUGGGAUUGAGCCCCACGUUGGACGCUGAGCUUUGAUUUUUGGCUGUGCCUUCUUCUAUAAAGUACUUCACUUUUGCAACACCUGCUACUUCCAGUUUUUGUAUUUACACACUUACCACAGAUGGCGCCCCAAGUCUGAGUGCUUCGAAAGCCCUUGCCUAUUAACUUCUCAUUACGGUAACAACAGUGUUUCUUUCCUGUGAGGUUCCUAUACGAGAAAUGAGUGUGUUCAGUCAUUUGUGCCUAGUAUUACCUACAAGUUUAAAGUUGACAACUUAAGUUGCUUUCUAUCUGAUCACGUGUUACACUUUGAUGUGUUAUCAUAGGUCAAACUGUUGCAAAACGUUUUGUGGUGUUAAAAAGAUCAGGAAUCCCAGUUGCCCAUAUGCAAGGAUGCUGUCAAACAGAGAAAUCACUGCAGACUGUUGGUACACGGACAUCUGCUGCCCAGCUCAGGAGUGAAGGUGAUGGUGAGGACAGCCACAGCUUCCAUCUGGUAGAGGACUGCUUCCGCUCAGUCUUCCAAAUAGUGAUGAGAACAAGGAUCACCACAUCUCCCUGUUUACCCUACUUUCAUGCAUUUCGUCUGCAAGGCCCUGCAAAAGCUUCUCCUUCGUCCUCAAACCCCCAGACUUCUUAAUUAACUCAGUAACCUAUACAUUGCACAUUGGAGUGUGAAGGUAACAGUUUGUUCUAGCUUUGGAGUAGUGGUGUAUUUUUUUGGUUUACAAUAAAGUUGGCUUUAACUAUUA